rnacentral:misc_RNA from 1 species
UUUCCGUAGGUGAACCUGCGGAAGGAUCAUUACCGAUUAAAAAAGGCGAUAUUACUCGAAGGAUGAGUAAUGUGAAUGCUCAGGAGUUUCCCUAAUGAUGCAGUGAUAAAAAGCUGUGUUGCAUGGAGCACCUGUGCUGGUUUAGUCGAGCUCUGAAAUUGCAUGAUAGUAUGCUUGUUGUGAGCUGAUUAGACUCAAUCUGUUUCGGCCAUUGUCGCCGGAAUGGGCCCCUGUAUGAAAAGAAGGGGAGGCUGUUGGUGGAGAUGUUUGAAUUGUUUGGUAGGCCAAAGUGCGUAUUAAAGACUUGAUUCGCCAGCAAUUCAUAAAACUCCUGUUUAUAGUUUCCUUUUUGUAGUAAUGCAGGUUUGAAAAUAGCUAUCUCUCCGCGAGGAUUGAGUAUAGCAAAGCUUGUUUGUGAUUGAGAACAUUCAGGAAAAGAAUUGAUAAAAUAAAAAUUAACCUCGAGUGGUGGAUCACUCGGCUCGU